AGGCGACCUCAGGUCAGG
rnacentral:rRNA from 1 species